CCUACGGGUGGCAGCAGUGGGGAAUAUUGCACAAUGGGCGAAAGCCUGAUGCAGCAACGCCGCGUGAAGGAAGAAGGGUUUCGGCUCGUAAACUUCUAUCAACAGGGACGAAAGAAAUGACGGUACCUGAAUAAGAAGCCCCGGCUAACUACGUGCCAGCAGCCGCGGUAAUACGUAGGUGGCAAGCGUUGUCCGGCAUUACUGGGUGUAAAGGGAGCGCAGGCGGGAAGCCAAGUCAGCUGUGAAAACUACGGGCUUAACUUGUAGACUGCAGUUGAAACUGGUUUUCUUGAGUGAAGUAGAGGUUGGCGGAAUUCCGAGUGUAGCGGUGAAAUGCGUAGAUAUUCGGAGGAACACCGGUGGCGAAGGCGGCCAACUGGGCUUUAACUGACGCUGAGGCUCGAAAGUGUGGGGAGCAAACAGGAUUAGAUACCCUAGUAGUC
rnacentral:rRNA from 1 species